AGUGGCGAAGGGGUGAGUAAAGUAUCAGAACGUGCCCAGUCGUGGGGGAUAACGUAUCGAAAGUUACGCUAAUACCGCAUACCAUCUAUGGAUGAAAGCGGGGGAUCGCAAGACCUCGCGCGAUUGGGGCGGCCGAUAUCAGAUUAGGUAGUUGGUGGGGUAAAGGCUCACCAAGCCGACUAUCUGUAGCUGGUCUGACAGGACGACCAGCCACACUGGGACUGACACCCGGCCCACACUCCUACGGGAGGCAGCAGUGGGGAAUUUUGGACAAUGGGCGCAAGCCUGAUCCAGCCAUGCCGCGUGCAGGAUGAAGGCCUUCGGGUUGUAAACUGCUUUUGUACGGAACGAAAAGGUUUGGCCUAAUAAGCUGAGCUCAUGACGGUACCGUAAGAAUAAGCACCGGCUACCUACGUGCCAGCAGCCGCGGUAAUACGCAAGGUGCGAGCGUUAAUCGGAAUUACUGGGCGUAAAGCGUGCGCAGGCGGUUAUGUAAGACAGAUGUGAAAUCCCCGGGCUCAACCUGGGAACUGCAUUAGUGACUGCAUAUCUGGAGUACGGCAGAGGGGGGAUGGAAUUCCGCGUGUAGCAGUGAAAUGCGUAGAUAUACGGAGGAACACCGAUGGCGAAGGCAAUCCCUCUGGGCCUGUACUGACGCUCAUGCACGAAAGCGUGG
rnacentral:rRNA from 1 species